GCCCGGCUGGCGUAAUGGUUAACGCGUAUGACUUCUAUAAAUGUAAGCGAUCAUAAGAUUGCGAGUUCGAGUCUCGCGUCGGGUU